GCCUAUAUACGUCCCACUGCUGGGCACAGGCUUCCUUGCAAAUGAUAUUUCGUACAUAAGUUCCGAAAAACUCAUUGGUACGAGCCAGGAUUUGAACCCGCGACCUCCGCAUUGAAAGUUGGACGUCAUGUCCACUCGGCCACCACCGC